rnacentral:rRNA from 1 species
AUUGAACGCUGGCGGUAGGCUUAACACAUGCAAGUCGAGCGGGGGAAGGUAGCUUGCUACUGGACCUAGCGGCGGACGGGUGAGUAAUGCUUAGGAAUCUGCCUAUUAGUGGGGGACAACAUCUCGAAAGGGAUGCUAAUACCGCAUACGUCCUACGGGAGAAAGCAGGGGAUCUUCGGACCUUGCGCUAAUAGAUGAGCCUAAGUCGGAUUAGCUAGUUGGUGGGGUAAAGGCCUACCAAGGCGACGAUCUGUAGCGGGUCUGAGAGGAUGAGCCGCCACACUGGGACGGAGACACGGCCCAGACUCCUACGGGAGGCAGCAGUGGGGAAUAUUGGACAAUGGGGGGAACCCUGAUCCAGCCAUGCCGCGUGUGUGAAGAAGGCCUUAUGGUUGUAAAGCACUUUAAGCGAGGAGGAGGCUACUUUAGUUAAUACCUAGAGAUAGUGGACGUUACUCGCAGAAUAAGCACCGGCUAACUCUGUGCCAGCAGCCGCGGUAA